rnacentral:rRNA from 1 species
UACGUAGGGGGCGAGCGUUGUCCGAAGUUACUGGGCGUAAAGCGCACGUAGUCGGCUUUGCAAGUCGGGUGUGAAAUCCCCGGGCUCAACCUGGGAACUGCAUCCGAGACUGCAUUGCUAGAGUAUGGGAGAGGGAAGCGGAAUUUCUGGUGUAGCAGUGAAAUGCGUAGAUAUCAGAAGGAACAUCAGUGGCGAAGGCGGCUUCCUGGACCAAUACUGACGAUCAGGUGCGAAAGCGUGGGGAGCAAACAGG